UACGUAGGGUGCGAGCGUUGUCCGGAUUUAUUGGGCGUAAAGAGCUCGUAGGCGGCUUGUCGCGUCGGAUGUGAAAGCCCCGGGGCUUAACUCCGGGUCUGCAUUCGAUACGGGCAGGCUAGAGUGUGGUAGGGGGAGAUCGGAAUUCCUGGUGUAGCGGUGAAAUGCGCAGAUAUCAGGAGGAACACCGGUGGCGAAGGCGGAUCUCUGGGCCAUUACUGACGCUGAGGAGCGAAAGCGUGGGGAGCGAACAGG
rnacentral:rRNA from 1 species